rnacentral:rRNA from 1 species
GGCUUCUCCUUCGGGAGCAGAGUGACAGGUGGUGCAUGGUUGUCGUCAGCUCGUGUCGUGAGAUGUUGGGUUAAGUCCCGCAACGAGCGCAACCCUUGAUCUUAGUUGCCAUCAUUAAGUUGGGCACUCUAAGGUGACUGCCGGUGACAAACCGGAGGAAGGUGGGGAUGACGUCAAAUCAUCAUGCCCCUUAUGACCUGGGCUACACACGUGCUACAAUGGACGGUACAAAGAGCUGCAAGACCGCGAGGUGGAGCUAAUCUCAUAAAACCGUUCUCAGUUCGGAUUGUAGGCUGCAACUCGCCUACAUGAAGCUGGAAUCGCUAGUAAUCGCGGAUCAGCAUGCCGCGGUGAAUACGUUCCCGGGUCUU